rnacentral:rRNA from 1 species
GGGGAAACCCAGUGCAAUCCGUUGCACUAUCGUUAACUGAAUACAUAGGUUAACGAGGCGAACCGGGGGAACUGAAACAUCUAAGUACCCCGAGGAAAAGAAAUCAACCGAGAUUCCCCCAGUAGCGGCGAGCGAACGGGGAGCAGCCCGGAGUCUGAAUCAGCUUGUGUGUUAGUGGAACGGUCUGGAAAGUCCGACGGUACAGGGUGAUAGUCCCGUACACGAAAGCACACUUGCUGUGAACUCGAAGAGUAGGGCGGGACACGUGGUAUCCUGUCUGAAUAUGGGGGGACCAUCCUCCAAGGCUAAAUACUCCUGACUGACCGAUAGUGAACCAGUACCGUGAGGGAAAGGCGAAAAGAACCCCGGCGAGGGGAGUGAAAAAGAACCUGAAACCGUGUACGUACAAGCAGUGGGAGCCUCUUUAUGGGGUGACUGCGUACCUUUUGUAUAAUGGGUCAGCGACUUAUAUUCUGUAGCAAGGUUAACCGUAUAGGGGAGCCGAAGGGAAACCGAGUCUUAACUGGGCGUUAAGUUGCAGGGUAUAGACCCGAAACCCGGUGAUCUAGCCAUGGGCAGGUUGAAGGUUGGGUAACACUAACUGGAGGACCGAACCGACUAAUGUUGAAAAAUUAGCGGAUGACCUGUGGCUGGGGGUGAAAGGCCAAUCAAACCGGGAGAUAGCUGGUUCUCCCCGAAAGCUAUUUAGGUAGCGCCUCGUGAACUCAUCUUCGGGGGUAGAGCACUGUUUCGGCUAGGGGGCCAUCCCGGCUUACCAACCCGAUGCAAACUACGAAUACCGAAGAAUGUUAUCACGGGAGACACACGGCGGGUGCUAACGUCCGUCGUGAAGAGGGAAACAACCCAGACCGCCAGCUAAGGUCCCAAAGUCAUGGUUAAGUGGGAAACGAUGUGGGAAGGCACAGACAGCCAGGAUGUUGGCUUAGAAGCAGCCAUCAUUUAAAGAAAGCGUAAUAGCUCACUGGUCGAGUCGGCCUGCGCGGAAGAUGUAACGGGGCUAAACCAUGCACCGAAGCUGCGGCAGCGACACUAUGUGUUGUUGGGUAGGGGAGCGUUCUGUAAGCCGUUGAAGGUGUGCUGUGAGGCAUGCUGGAGGUAUCAGAAGUGCGAAUGCUGACAUAAGUAACGAUAAAGCGGGUGAAAAGCCCGCUCGCCGGAAGACCAAGGGUUCCUGUCCAACGUUAAUCGGGGCAGGGUGAGUCGACCCCUAAGGCGAGGCCGAAAGGCGUAGUCGAUGGGAAACAGGUUAAUAUUCCUGUACUUGGUGUUACUGCGAAGGGGGGACGGAGAAGGCUAUGUCAGCCGGGCGACGGUUGUCCCGGUUUAAGCAUGUAGGCGGAGGUUCCAGGUAAAUCCGGUACCUUUUAACGCUGAGGUGUGAUGACGAGGCACUACGGUGCUGAAGUGAUAAAUGCCCUGCUUCCAGGAAAAGCCUCUAAGCAUCAGGUAACACGAAAUCGUACCCCAAACCGACACAGGUGGUCAGGUAGAGAAUACCAAGGCGCUUGAGAGAACUCGGGUGAAGGAACUAGGCAAAAUGGUGCCGUAACUUCGGGAGAAGGCACGCUGAUGUGUAGGUGAAGCCCCUGCGGG